rnacentral:rRNA from 1 species
CUAUACAUGCAGUCGAGCGAACAGAUAAGGAGCUUGCUCCUUUGACGUUAGCGGCGGACGGGUGAGUAACACGUGGGUAACCUACCUAUAAGACUGGGAUAACUUCGGGAAACCGGAGCUAAUACCGGAUAACAUUUGGAACCGCAUGGUUCUAAAGUGAAAGAUGGUUUUGCUAUCACUUAUAGAUGGACCCGCGCCGUAUUAGCUAGUUGGUAAGGUAACGGCUUACCAAGGCGACGAUACGUAGCCGACCUGAGAGGGUGAUCGGCCACACUGGAACUGAGACACGGUCCAGACUCCUACGGGAGGCAGCAGUAGGGAAUCUUCCGCAAUGGGCGAAAGCCUGACGGAGCAACGCCGCGUGAGUGAUGAAGGGUUUCGGCUCGUAAAACUCUGUUAUUAGGGAAGAACAAACGUGUAAGUAACUGUGCACGUCUUGACGGUACCUAAUCAGAAAGCCACGGCUAACUACGUGCCAGCAGCC